UAGACACACACACACACACACACACACAAUGGCACAUACAAGCAAUGCACCCCGGCGUUGCCAGGGUGUUAUGACCUACAGCCACAUUGUAUUAUUUGUUCUUUUCUGAUGAGCAGAAUCAGCACACAAGGAGUAUGAAGCAAACAACUCUUCUUUAUAAACAUGUUUUUCGGUAAUUUUCUGAUGAAUAACGCUGCAGUUUCCGUCU